rnacentral:misc_RNA from 1 species
AAAAUACAAAUUACGGUAAGAAAGACGAAAAAUUAAAGAAAUAAAAAAAAUAAAGGAAGAAAUACGAAAAAGAAGAACGUAAAGAAUAAAAGCUCCUUUGACCGUUCCUUGUAUGCAUUUUUUACAAAUUGUUUGAUGUAUUUUUAAACAAAAAGAAACGAAAAAAUGCCUGAUAAAAUGAUAUAAAAUAAAAUAAAAUAGACGAAAAAAAAAAUUUAAAGCAGCAAUACCCUGUUCGCUCGUAUCUUCUCUUUCGCUAAAUCGUAUUGAAUUUGUAUUACAAGUUACACGCAACUACUCGUUUUUUUAUUACGACAACGAUUUUCGGUAAAUAACUUAAAUGAGUGAUAACAUGUCUUUUGGGGUACAAGUAGUAAAUUCUACAUUAGGGGUUUUUUUUUAUCCUUCAUUUUUCAACGACUAUAAAAAGGAAAUAAAGCGGGAUUUAAAUCUCUUUUUUUUCUCUAAUUUUUUACUCAUGAAUUUUCCUUCUUUCCCUUCUUCCAUGCUCUCUUCUUGUAAAUAGAAACCACUCCAUCCCCCGUCCAAAGAAUCAACCAAGCCGCUGUAUCGCGAUUUCGAAAGUAAUAUAGGGUCCAGAAUUUAAAAAAGAACACCGCUUACACUGUCAACCUUAAUAGAUUAGUACUCGAACUUUUACCGAUCGUCCCCCUUGUUUCAAACAAAAAAUUAUCAAAUACUCGGUAACAGUGUUCGUUAAUGUCUUUAAAUUUGCAAGGUUUCGUUAAAGCGCUGGUUCAUUUUGCAAUGCAAGUUCAUUAUACAAAAUACAUUGUAAAUAUUGUAAUGUAGCUUAAAAAGUUUUUAGAACAAUCAAUUUU